rnacentral:rRNA from 1 species
AACGAACGCUGGCGGCAUGCCUAACACAUGCAAGUCGAACGAGACCUUCGGGUCUAGUGGCGCACGGGUGCGUAACGCGUGGGAACCUGCCCUUAGGUUCGGAAUAACUCCCCGAAAGGGGUGCUAAUACCGGAUAAUGUCUUCGGACCAAAGAUUUAUCGCCUUUGGAUGGGCCCGCGUUGGAUUAGCUAGUUGGUAGGGUAAAAGCCUACCAAGGCGACGAUCCAUAGCUGGUCUGAGAGGAUGAUCAGCCACACUGGGACUGAGACACGGCCCAGACUCCUACGGGAGGCAGCAGUGGGGAAUAUUGGACAAUGGGCGAAAGCCUGAUCCAGCGAUGCCGCGUGAGUGAUGAAGGCCUUAGGGUUGUAAAGCUCUUUUACCCGGGAUGAUAAUGACAGUACCGGGAGAAUAAGCUCCGGCUAACUCCG